rnacentral:rRNA from 1 species
UACGUAGGUGGCAAGCGUUGCUCGGAAUCACUGGGCGUAAAGCGCACGUAGGCGGCUUUCUAAGUCAGGGGUGAAAGCCCGGGGCUCAACUCCGGAACUGCCUUUAAGACUGCAUCGCUUGAAUCCGGGAGAGGUGAGUGGAAUUCCGAGUGUAGAGGUGAAAUUCGUAGAUAUUCGGAAGAACACCAGUGGCGAAGGCGGCUCACUGGACCGGUAUUGACGCUGAGGUGCGAAAGCGUGGGGAGCAAACAGG